UGGGAUCAAGAAGAAGACAGCAGUUUGGUCAUUCUGCAUCCUUCUGGCGCCAUAGAGGCCACCUUACCGUCAUUUUCUUCCCUUCACAAGAGCAGACUACGUGAGAGCUUUGUUCCGCCACUGGAAGCUCCGAGCACAUCCGAGAUCCCAAAAAGACGGCAGCGUCGUUCCUCAGGCUCCCGUGUGCGUAACUCUUCAGCAGUCGUCUACAGCGUGAUCGUGGAGGACAGCCACAGCCAGCCAAGAUACAACCUGAGGAGCAGGAAAUCUUUAUGUGCCCCAGAGCCAAAAGGCGCGAGAGACUCCUACUGAUCUCUGGGAGAUGAGGGGGUGUGACGAAUGACCACGUCUGUGAAAUAUGGAAGUC